UAACUUUCAAAAGCCAUGGACUAGAUCCACCAACAAGGCUUGGUUCUCAGCCCCAAGAAUCAGAAAGCAAGGCCAGACCAUGUUCCAUACUGGCCUCCCCUCGUGUGACUGACCCCUGCUUUGACGCCCUGGCCCUCAUUCCUUCCAUCUCAUAUGCAAGUACAUACUUGUAUAUAAGGCUAAAUAAAACUCUUGCAGAAACAGGACAGGAAGCUGGAAAGAUAUCAUAAAGUCUCUUUAUGUAACAGGAAUUCCUGUUCCCAGGAUAGUGUUGGUUUAACAGGAUGUAGAGGGACCAGGGAAACAGAUGGCUGGGAAGUGAAUGUUAUGGAACAAUACAGGAAGGUAUUGCCUUCCUAGGCUCAGGACAGACAAACUAGUUCUAUUAUUAUAGCUGCUGCUUCUGUGCUGCCGCUGCUUUUUUUUUUUUUUUCCCUUUAUGUAGUGUUUGCUUGCCUGCCCCUGAAGGCAGUUUCAGGACUUCAGCAAAAGACAAGUUAGUACCUGUUUUAAUAAUGAUAGCUAAGAUAGUUUAGGGAUUUUGUUUUGUUCUGUCUUCAUUUUUGGAGUUGCAUUCCUUAAUAUUUCAGCCUUAGCUACAAUGGUGGUUUUGACAUCGUCAAUCAAGAACUCAGUAGGCAACAGCUUAAAUGCCUUCAAUAUUACCAUCAAUUGCUUGAUUUUUAAAUAGAGUUUUAAUUUCUAAAGUAUUUUAUUAACUAUUCACCAAUUAAAGCAAAGCUAGAAAUCGCAGCUUCAUUUCAAAAGUAUUGCUUGGGGAUAAAGUCAUGAGAAAACAUGAGUUACCCUUCUGUCAAUUUGCUACAACAAUAAACCAGGUCACGGUGAGCCUCCACUGCAGCUCAUGUUUUAAUGUGCCUACUCAGUGCCAGGUGUGGCACUAGGUUCUGUGUGUAAAGUGGUGAACAAGACCUCAUAGUCUUCACCCUCAAGGAAUUUUCUAGUAAACUUUUUCAAAGCGCAUUCAGCCCUUUGCAGAGCAGGCUGACCUCAUUUUUCACCCACUUGUUCUUUGAGAAGCUGUGAUGAAUUUGUGAAUGCUCCAUUCACAUUCUUCCCCAGCAUCCUUUGUGUCUGGAAUGCACACAUAAAUGAAGACGCAGGGCAGGUGUGAAUCAGACCAUUGUAAACCCAGCUCAGACCCCGAUCUUGCGGCUUAAUCUGCACUCUGUUCUAACCCGCUGCUAACCAGGUGGAGUGCGUACAUGCAUGCUCAGUCAUGUUUGACUCUUGGCGACCCCAUGGACUAUAGCCUUCCAGGCUCCUUUGUCCAUGCAUUUCUCCAGGCAAGAAUACUGGAGUGGGUUGCCAUUUCCUACUCCAGGGGAUAUUCCUGACCCAGGGGUUGAAACCGCAUCUUUUGCAUUGGCAGGCAGAAUAUUUUUUUUUUUGACCACUGAUCCACCUGGGAAGCCUAACCAGCUGGAGACAAGCUCCCUAAUAAACCACUGUAAAAUUACAUUCUGAAGUGAGUCCUUAUUCAUGUUUCUGGCCGAACAUGUUUCCCAUAUAUCUGUUGGUGUACAGGGCAUCUCUGCACAAAUGGUGCAUGGCUCUUCCCAUGUUUUAUUUCAUUUUCCAUUCAAAAGAAGCCUGUGAGGCAGAUGAGUCAGCCAAUGAUAUCUUUCACAUGGUGAGGAGUGACUUUUCCAGUCUUGUAGAUGAAGGGAAGCUGGGCAGUCUUGUUGGUCACUCCAGGCCAGGGCUGCCCACCAACCUCACAGACUAAUCUGGGCACUAGCUUUACAAAGUCAAGUGCACUUGUACAUCAGUAUGUACUGAGCCCCUGUCUGUGUGAUGCUUCUUUCUCUGAGCCAGCGCAAAACUCCAUUUGCUGAGUCAUCAAUUCUCAAGAAUCCCAAGCUUCCCCAAACAUGAGGACCCCACGGAUGCUCCAGAGAAUGGCUCCAGUUCACUACUUACAGAUGUCUCUGCUCCAAGAGUAAAUCCCAGGAAGAAAAGAAGCAGCUAGUUAAUUUCAUGCUGAGAAAUAUUUCUCUCCUCUCUUUGAUCUAUUUAUUUCUCAUGAUUCUUCUGCUCUGAGCUUCUCCUUUGGGCCUACAAAAUGAAUCUCCCUGGUGUUCUGGGAGAGCACUCAAAACUAUAAAGCCAUAAAGAGGAGGCUCUGGGCCAUGUGAGGGGCACUAAGAGUGGAUGAGUCACGUGGGAUGGGAAAAACCUGCCUGGGAAGGCACAGGAAUCUCAUUUAGGAUGUAAUUGCUGCUCUGCUUGUUUCCAUCACUCAAAAAACUAUAAGCUCUGUGAGGCAAGCAUGCAUCCUGCUCUCCAUGUAGAACCAAGGCAGAGCCUGGCGUAUAGUUGGUGCUCAAUAAAUACUUACUGAAAGGAGGAAAGAAGCACGACUCAUGGAUACCUGUUGUUCGUGGAAGCCUCAGGUCUCACAACCAAUAAGGGGUCAAGGUCUGCACUUCAAGGUUUCUCGUCCCUUGUCAAUUAUAUCCGCCGAAGCAGGCAGCGGCAAUGUUGAAAAUGACCAGCAGAGGGCAGCGUUCACACAGGCUGUCUACGCCUCUAUGGAGCUCAAAGCUACCAUCGCUACUGGGACAGACCCCCAUCAUGGACCCCUGAAGAUACACUGAGAAGGAUACAACGUCAUGUCCUGUGAUUUUCCUAGCCCCAAAGCUUAUCUAAAUGUAAACAUGAAGCACCAGGUACUUAAAUUCAGGGACAGACUACAGAGUAACUGGUGCUCAUAUAUCAAUUCUUUGCGACCCCAUGGAGUGCAGCCCUCCAGGCUCCUCUGUCUAUGAAUUUUCCAGACAAGAAUACUGGAGUGGGUUGCCAUUUCCUCCUCCAGGGGAAUCUUCCUGACCUAGAGAUGGAACACACUUCUCCUGCUUCGGCAGAUGGAUUCUUACCACUGAGUCACCUGGGAAGCCCCAAAUAACUGGCCAGUGACCUUGAAAAAUGUCAAGGUCAUUUGACAUUGAAUAUCCUUUUUCUUAGAAAUAUUUAGGGGUGAAAACACAAUGUUUUGAACUUGCUUUUAAGUAAGUUAAGAAAAAACAGUAACAAUAAAAAAAUGAGCAAAAUGUAAAGUGAAUCUGGGUAAAAGGUAUAUGGAAUUUUGUUUGUUUGGCUGUGCUGGGUCUUCGUCGCUGCAUGGACCUUCCUUGCUGCAUGGGCCUUCCUCUAGUCUUGGAGAGCGGGAGCUACUCUUCAUGGAGGUGCUCGGGC